CACGUAGUUAGCCGUGGCUUAUUCAAGGGUACCGUCUUCUGCUCUUCCCCCUUAAAAGAAGUUUACAACCCGAAAGCCUUCUUCCUUCACGCGGCGUUGCUGGGUCAGGCUUGCGCCCAUUGCCCAAUAUUCCCCACUGCUGCCUCCCGUAGGAGUCUGGGCCGUAUCUCAGUCCCAAUGUGGCCGGUCAACCUCUCAGUCCGGCUACUGAUCGUCGCCUAGGUGGGCCGUUACCCCGCCUACUAGCUAAUCAGACGCGAGGCCAUCUUCCAGCGAUAAAUCUUUGACAUGUCCGUGAUGCCACGGUCAUGUGUCAUGCGGUAUUAGCAGUCGUUUCCAACUGUUGUCCCCCUCUGGAAGGUCAGGUUCCUCACGCGUUACUCACCAGUCCGCCACUAACGCAUUCCCUUCCAUUGUCCGAAAACUCUUUCAGGGGUUGCUCCGUUCGACUUGCAUGUGUUAAGCACGCCGCCAGCGUUCGUCUCGAGCACGAGUCGAACUAC
rnacentral:rRNA from 1 species